AUACGGAGGGUGCAAGCGUUAAUCGGAAUUACUGGGCGUAAAGCGUACGUAGGCGGUUAUUUAAGUCAGAUGUGAAAGCCCCGGGCUUAACUUGGGAACUGCAUUUGAAACUGGGUAACUAGAGUUUAGUAGAGGGGAGUGGAAUUUCAGGUGUAGCGGUGAAAUGCGUAGAGAUCUGAAGGAACACCAGUGGCGAAGGCGACUCCCUGGACUAAAACUGACGCUGAGGUACGAAAGCGUGGGUAUCAAACAGGAUUAGAAACCCCAGUAGUCC
rnacentral:rRNA from 1 species